GUAUUUACAACUUCUACUAGUGGCAGAGCUUUUGAGUCUAUUGAAAUCUUUGAACAAGACCCAUCUGUAAGGAAAGCUUUGAUAGUAUGCAGAGUAAUAGCUGGGAGAGUUCAUAAGCCUUUGGAUAAUAUACAAGAAAUAUCUGACCAAACAGGGUUUGAUUCAUUAGCAGGAAAAGUUGGUCUCUACUCAAAUAUUGAGGAGCUGUAUCUUCUAAAUCCCAGAGCUCUUCUUCCUUGCUUUGUGGUAAUCUGCAAAACCUGACCAGAAGACAGUAAAAGAAUCACUUACAAUUUGCUAUCAAGUUAUGUGAAUCCCUUUUUUAAUCUUUUGAUGAUAGAAAUUCUUCUCAAUCUUCUAUUUUGAAGAAAUUUGAUUCUUCCUCUUACAAUCUUUCUGCCCUUUUUUAGUGUAAUUGUUUCUGCCCUUAUUUACAGUUGCAUAAUUUCUUCAUUUUCUUGUCCAUUUUUAAGAUCAAUGAUGCAUAUAUUUCAAAUUAGAUUGCUGUUAUUUGCACAUAUAUAAACAUGGAGACCAUUCUUUUUUCUAAGUUGAAUAUGGUUAUCUGUAUUGGUGAAGAAAUUGAAAGUACAUGGAUUUUGUAGUAUAAUAAUAUGUAUAACUUCUGACAAGCUAGAGCAUCAAGGCACAAUGCAGAUGUAGGCAUCUCACUUCAGUUAUGAGCUGGCAAUACAAUUUGAAAAGUACUUGGAUACAGAGUUUGAUUUGAUUUACAUGCAAAAUAAUAGUUGAAAACUCCAAAGUUCUUCAACACAAGCAUCAUAAUCUAGACAAAACAAUUAAACAAAUCCAGCUGCUGAAUACUAUUUUAUAUUAAUUUCUGUCUCACUUGAAGACAAAAACAAAUAAUUAUAUGAAUCAUGCCCAGAAGUCACAUUUGAGAAACAGAGAAAGUUUAUAUACCUAGCUUGAUUCUACAUAGUUUUGAAUAUAAAUUCUUCAAUGUAAAUUUGUAUGAUUUGCUUCACAUGCUUGCAAGGCAUUAUUUGAUGUAUGUAAACUGGAAAGUUUGCAUGUGGGCUUUGUUGGAAGGUUAAGGUUGAAACAAAAGGCUAGUCCAAACCAAGAGGACAAUUAUGUGCUCACUAUAUAUGACUUUGAUUUUGUCAGUUCUGUUCCCAGUUUCGGUCACUAUUUGAAUUUAUGCUUGAAUAUCCUUGUUCUGUUUUUUGCCUUUUUUUUUCUUUUUUGGUUUGGUUUGGUUUGGUUUUUCCUCUGUAGCUUGACUCAAAAGCUCUGCCACUAGUAAAGAUUUCAUUGUAUGGCUUGUUUCAAUGUCUAGAUAGUUAGGUUUUUUCUGUAAUAAAGAUGGUUGUUUAUUGUGCAAAGAAAAGGGAGCUUGUCAUUCAUAUAGUAGACUAUAUGUCUAUAUCUCAUGUAUUGAAUAUGCGGAUAUUGUUUGAAAUUCAACGAUCUUUUCAUAUUCAUGAAAACAGUGUUUGUUUAGGGAGUGAAACAAAGGAAGAGAAGUGAUGUCAAAUGUAAGUUUGAUAGAUUUUUUAAAUCAUUAUUGUCUUGUAUGUUUAAUGAAUAUCAUCGACAAAGAAGUCAGAGAUUGAACUGAAUAAUGCUUAUUGUCUUAAUUCUGAAAGUUACAAGGCAGUAUAUUUAUACAAUAAUUCUAAUAUAGUAAUAUUCUAAAUUAGGAAAUUAGGAUAUACAAAAAAUAUAAACGUUUCUUUUACAACCUUUUAGGAACCUUAGGAAAUAUCUCAUGUCCCAUGUUGCAAACUAAAUUAUGGAAAUAUUUGCUAUUGAUUCCCUUAAUGAAAAUAUCAAUCAACUGAUUCCAUAAAUCACACAAGCAAUAUCCGAAACUCCACUAUUUAGUUUCUCUUUGAUGAAAUAUUGAUUGAAUUUUUAUGUGUGUUGUUUAAUCAUGCUGAACUAGAUUGUUGGGCAAUGCUAAUGGCAGUCUUAUUAUUGCAGUAUAAGGACACUUUUUUUUUUUUUAAAUCCAGCAAUUCUAGCUCCUGUAUUGAUCUCUGAAUCCAUAGAAGUUCACAAACACCUUGAGCCAUGACUCUGUAUUUAGCCUUUGUACUUGAUCUUGUCACUAUGUUUUGCUUCUUGCUUCUCCAUGUGUCUAGAUUUCCAUUGAAAAAUGUGCAAUAACCCUAUGCAGAUCCACCUUAAUUUGCAUCUAUAUAGCCUUCUACUUUUAGAUGACCAUGUUUGGCAAGCAACAGUCCCUUGGAGCUGAUUUCAGAUAACUUAAGAAAUCCACCGCUUUGGGGAACAGUGAAAUAUCUCUCUAAGAAAAUUCCAAAAGAUACUUCUAGCAAGAAUAAUGGAGACAGCACCGACAUUGCCCGAUUUUGCUUUGUCCCUGAAACCCGACGAGUAUCAACUUCUUUCGGUGGAUUCAUCUUGGAACGAAGAGAAUGUGAAUGGAGGGUAAGCCUAUUCCGACCAAAUCAAGAGUGAAGGCUGUGUGUAAUCUUUGCAGAAAGAAGCUAUACUACAAAAGCCAUCUCAAAAACUUGGAGUGGCCAAUUAAACAGGUGUAUCAUUCUUCAACUGUGUACCAAAGGUCCACUUUAGCCCCACAUUUUUUAAUUAUCACAGUGCAACAAGCAAAGACUGAAGAAGAAAUUUUAUGAUUGAGAUAGUAAAGGUUGAGGUUAUUACCAGAACAAUCAGAUGGAUGAUAAGUAUAGGCUGAGUGUGAAUUGACGCGGUGACUAAUCUAGUGUCAGCUAUUGGUGUUUUUGGGAUCGAUCCUGUAUUGUGACCUUCGAUAUGUGACAUGUGAAGGAACAUCAAAGGGAAAGGAGAUAGCUAGAGAAUAGAAGAGGAAAAGAAAGAGGAAUUCAAGAAAGGUUGUAGAUAAAGUAGAUACGCGGAGUUCAUCAGAGGUCUACAUCAGAUAUCAAGGCUAUUAUCAUAGCUGGUAGUUUUGAGUCUUUGAGUCAUAGUACAAUUAUAUUUUGGCAAGUACAUAUUUAAUAGAGUGAGUUGUAAAGGUUAUGUAAUCAAAGAAUAGUAAGAUAUCAAAU